rnacentral:misc_RNA from 1 species
GCCGGGAAAGACACGCCACAAUCUGAUCCCAAACUUCCUAACGUCACCAUUACCUGCUGUACGCCAUUGUUUCUUUGCCAGCCGAAACUACGCAUAAUUCUUGAAUAUUGCAAACAUGCUUUCUGUGUCCUCUCUUUUUCCCCUGUUUUCUCUGUUUCGUCCACCACCGUAGCCACCAUGCGUCCACAGUUGUCGAGCACCACUCUAAUACUAACCACCAAAAUCCACAUUAUGGCCUUAGAUGGAAUCGUUAAUGUGAACUCUUUGUUCACUUUAGCGCUUUUUCUUGGUCUCGCUUGGUACCCUGCUCCUGACCCCUCUAUCUCCCUCGUUACCGAUCCUUCCUGCGCUGCUAGCUCCGCCAUUGCGGAGGAUCUCAUCGCCUUCCAUGUUUACUCCUUCAGCUCUUUCCUCUUCUCUAGUCUCAUUGCUUUAGCUCUCAAGCAGGCUAUCAAGAUUGCAGAUAAAGACGACAAUAAUAUUGUUAGUGUUGACGAGGUGGGAAGUGCUUCCCUGGUGCAGGUUAACUUGGUGGCUUUAAGGGUGGGGACUUUGAUUUCUGGGUUUGGGUCUGUUUUCGGAUGUGGGUUCUUGAUGAUGGCUUUGGUGCACUUGGUGCAGAUAAAGUUGGGGACUUUGGCUUGUGGGAGUUUGUAUACUUUUGCUGCUAUUGGUCCUUUGGUGAUAUUGGUUCCUUUAGCCUUACUAAUCUAUGUUUUUCUCAUGCUUUAUGCCUUUACUCGCUAGGUUUUUUUUUGAAUGAUGUUCGUAGGAUUGAUAAAAAGAUUAAUACUUAAUGCUUAUUUUAAAUGUGUGAAAUGCCACAUAUAAUGGGCCUUUGAAAAAUGAAGUGAAUAAAAGUCGAGUGAAAAAUAAUAUAUUCACGAUUCAAAGUGUUGUUUUAUCUGAUAAAUAUUACCUUUACCUAGAUGAGUCAAAAGAAUAGAAAAUAUUUGCAAUUAUUUUUAUGUGGGCAAUAGCUGAUUUUGCGAUAUGUUUUUAACUGUUUCGUUUUAGCCUGAGAAUUCAAUAACUACAAGCAUCUGAGUUGUACGUUCUUGACUGUUUAGAUGUGAUCUACUGGUUUAGGUGCAUCAUUUGGUGCAAUUUGCAGUAUAAAAUUGUGGGUUGUAUUGGGAAUGGUUGAUUUUGCGUCUUUCAUAAUAUUUGCCAUGACCAAGGGAGUUGGCAGAGACAAUGGCUAAAAUUUUGUUUUAUUGAUAUAUAUAAUAGGAAGUGUAGAUAUCAAAGCAGGCUAAUUUAUUCUAUAAAGUCAAUGAAUUAUACGAUCGCUUAACCACAUUUUUUU